GAUGAAGAACGUAGCGAAAUGCGAUAAGUAGUGUGAAUUGCAGAAUUCAGUGAAUCAUCGAAUCUUUGAACGCACACUGCGCCCCUUGGUAUUCCAUGGGGCAUGCCUGUUCGAGCGUCAUUUGUACCUUCAAGCUCUGCUUGGUGUUGGGUGUUUGUCUCGCCUCUGCGUGUAGACUCGCCUCAAAACAAUUGGCAGCCGGCGUAUUGAUUUCGGAGCGCAGUACAUCUCGCGCUUUGCACUCAUAACGACGACGUCCAAAAGUACAUUUUUACACUCUUGACCUCGGAUCAGGUAGGGAUACCCGCUGAACUUAAGCAUAUCAAUAAGCGGAGGA
rnacentral:misc_RNA from 1 species